rnacentral:rRNA from 1 species
AUACGUAGGGGGCGAGCGUUGUCCGGAAUGAUUGGGCGUAAAGGGCGCGUAGGCGGCCCGGUAAGUCUGGAGUGAAAGUCCUGUUUUUAAGAUGGGAAUUGCUUUGGAUACUGUCGGGCUUGAGUGCAGGAGAGGUAAGUGGAAUUCCCAGUGUAGAGGUGAAAUGCGUAGAGAUUGGGAGGAACACCAGUGGCGAAGGCGACUUACUGGACUGUAACUGACGCUGAGGCGCGAAAGUGUGGGGAGCAAACAGGAUUAGAUACCCUGGUAGUCCACACUGUAAACGAUGAAUGCUAGGUGUAGGGGGUAUCGACCCCUUCUGUGCCGCAGUCAACACAAUAAGCAUUCCGCCUGGGGAGUACGGCCGCAAGGUUGAAACUCAAAUGAAUUGACGGGG